UACGGGGGGGGCAAGCGUUGUUCGGAAUUACUGGGCGUAAAGGGCGCGUAGGCGGCCUUCUAAGUCAGACGUGAAAUCCCUCGGCUCAACCGAGGAACUGCGUCUGAUACUGGAAGGCUUGAAUCCGGGAGAGGGAUGUGGAAUUCCAGGUGUAGCGGUGAAAUGCGUAGAUAUCUGGAGGAACACCGGUGGCGAAGGCGGCAUCCUGGACCGGUAUUGAAGCUGAGGCGCGAAAGCUAGGGGAGCAAACGGG
rnacentral:rRNA from 1 species